rnacentral:rRNA from 1 species
CGGACGGGUGAGUAACGCGUGGAUAACCUGCCUCACACUGGGGGAUAACAGUUAGAAAUGACUGCUAAUACCGCAUAAACGCACAGUACCGCAUGGUACAGUGUGAAAAACUCCGGUGGUGUGAGAUGGAUCCGCGUCUGAUUAGCCAGUUGGCGGGGUAACGGCCCACCAAAGCGACGAUCAGUAGCCGACCUGAGAGGGUGACCGGCCACAUUGGGACUGAGACACGGCCCAA